GACGAACGCUGGCGGCGUGCUUAACACAUGCAAGUCGAACGAAGAGCGAUGGAAGCUUGCUUCUAUCAAUCUUAGUGGCGAACGGGUGAGUAACGCGUAAUCAACCUGCCCUUCAGAGGGGGACAACAGUUGGAAACGACUGCUAAUACCGCAUACGAUCUGACCUCGGCAUCGAGGAUAGAUGAAAGGUGGCCUCUAUUUAUAAGCUAUCACUGAAGGAGGGGAUUGCGUCUGAUUAGCUAGUUGGAGGGGUAACGGCCCACCAAGGCGAUGAUCAGUAGCCGGUCUGAGAGGAUGAACGGCCACAUUGGGACUGGGACACGGCCCAGACUCCUACGGGAGGCAGCAGUGGGGAAUCUUCCGCAAUGGACGAAAGUCUGACGGAGCAACGCCGCGUGAGUGAUGACGGCCUUCGGGUUGUAAAGCUCUGUUAAUCGGGACGAAAGGCCUUCUUGCGAAUAGUUAGAAGGAUUGACGGUACCGGAAUAGAAAGCCACGGCUAACUACGUG
rnacentral:rRNA from 1 species